rnacentral:rRNA from 1 species
UAAAUCAAGUGGUCAAGCUAAAUAGGGCUGAUGGUGGAUACCUAGGCACACAGAGGCGAAGAAGGACGUGGUAACCGACGAAACGCUCCGGGGAGUUGGAAGCAAGCAGAGAUCCGGAGAUGUCCGAAUGGGGCAACCCUAUGUACUACCGACUGAAUUCAUAGGUCGGCAAGAGCCAACCCAGCGAACUGAAACAUCUUAGUAGCUGGAGGAAGAGAAAGAAAACUCGAUUCCCUAAGUAGUGGUGAGCGAACGGGGAAUAGCCUAAACCAGAAGAUUUAUCUUCUGGGGUAGUGGGACAGCGAUAUGGAAUCUGAGCGUUAGACGAAGCAGUCGAAUACUGUACCAGAGAAGGUGAAAGUCCUGUAGUCGAAAAGGCAACGAUACUAGUUGAAUCCCGAGUAGCACGGGGCACGAGAAAUCCCGUGUGAAUCAGCGAGGACCACCUCGUAAGGCUAAAUACUACUGUGUGACCGAUAGUGAAACAGUACCGCGAGGGAAAGGUGAAAAGAACCCCGGGAGGGGAGUGAAAUAGAACAUGAAACCGUCAGCCUGCAAGCAGUGGAAGGACGAUUCAACGUCUGACCGCGUGCCUGUUGAAGAAUGAGCCGGCGAGUUAUAACGUGUGGCAGGUUAAGGUGCAUAGCCGUAGCCAAAGCGAAAGCGAGUCUGAAUAGGGCGUAUGAAUUGUCACUUGUUAUAGACCCGAACCCGGGUGAUCUAACCAUGUCCAGGAUGAAGCUUGGGUAACACCAAGUGGAGGUCCGCACCGACCGAUGUUGAAAAAUCGGCGGAUGAGGUGUGGUUAGGGGUGAAAUGCCAAUCGAACCCGGAGCUAGCUGGUUCUCCCCGAAAUGUGUUGAGGCGCAGCGGCUGUGAUUGAAAGUCUGGGGGUAAAGCACUGUUUCGGUGCGGGCUGCGAGAGCGGUACCAAAUCGAGACAAACUCUGAAUACCAGGCUCCAAGCAGCUAGUGAGACGGUGGGGGAUAAGCUUCAUCGUCAAGAGGGAAACAGCCCAGACCACCAGCUAAGGUCCCCAAAUUGUCACUAAGUGAUAAAGGAGGUGGGAGUGCAAAGACAACCAGGAGGUUUGCCUAGAAGCAGCCAUCCUUGAAAGAGUGCGUAAUAGCUCACUGGUCAAGCGCUCCUGCGCCGAAAAUGAACGGGGCUAAGUGACAUACCGAAGCUGUGGGAUAUGUAAAUAUCGGUAGGGGAGCGUUCCGCGAUAGGGUGAAGCACUAGCGGCAAGCAGGUGUGGACGAAGCGGAAGUGAGAAUGUCGGCUUGAGUAGCGAAAACAUUGGUGAGAAUCCAAUGCCCCGAAACCCUAAGGGUUCCUCCGGCAGGUUCGUCCACGGAGGGUUAGUCAGGACCUAAGGCGAGGCCAAACGGCGUAGUCGAUGGACAACGGGUGAACAAUCCCGUACUGACAAUAAGUAGUGCAGAGGGACACAGAAGGCAAAGCCAGCCGGAUGUUGGUUACCGGUUCAACCACUCAAGGUGAUGAGAAGCGGCGAAAACGCUUUGAGCCAAGAUGGGAGCACGAGGUGCUACGGCACCGAAGUGGUGUAGUCAAGCUGUCAAGAAAAGCUCGGUGGCACGUUAACUUAUUGUUACCUGUACCCGAAACCGACACAGGUAGGGAGGUUGAGAAUACCAAGGGGCGCGAGAUAACUCUCUCUAAGGAACUCGGCAAAAUGGCCCCGUAACUUCGGAAGAAGGGGUGCCUACGCAAGUAGGUCGCAGUGAAGAGAUCCAGGCGACUGUUUACCAAAAACACAGGUCUCCGCAAAGUCGAAUGACGACGUAUGGGGGCUGACGCCUGCCCAGUGCCGGAAGGUUAAGGAAGUUGGUCAGGGAGUCAUCCUGAAGCUGACGACCGAAGCCCCGGUGAACGGCGGCCGUAACUAUAACGGUCCUAAGGUAGCGAAAUUCCUUGUCGGGUAAGUUCCGACCCGCACGAAAGGCGUAACGAUCUGGAUGGUGUCUCAGAGAGAGACUCGGCGAAAUAGGAAUGUCUGUGAAGAUACGGACUACCUGCACCUGGACAGAAAGACCCUAUGAAGCUUUACUGUAGCCUGGAAUUGGGUUCGGGCUUUGCUUGCGCAGGAUAGGUGGGAGGCGUUGAACUACUCCUUGUGGGGGGUAGGGAGCCAACGGUGAGAUACCACUCUGGCGAAGCUAGAAUUCUAACCUGUAGCCGUCGACCGGCACGGGAACAGUUUCAGGUGGGCAGUUUGACUGGGGCGGUCGCCUCCUAAAAAGUAACGGAGGCGCGCAAAGGUUCCCUCAGCACGGUUGGAAAUCGUGCGGCGAGUGUAAAGGCAAAAAGGGAGCUUGACUGCAAGAGCAACAACUCAAGCAGGGACGAAAGUCGGCCUUAGUGAUCCGACGGCACUGUGUGGAAGGGCCGUCGCUCAACGGAUAAAAGUUACUCUAGGGAUAACAGGCUGAUCUCCGCCAAGAGUUCACAUCGACGCGGAGGUUUGGCACCUCGAUGUCGGCUCAUCGCAACCUGGGGCGGAAGUACGUCCCAAGGGUUGGGCUGUUCGCCCAUUAAAGCGGUACGUGAGCUGGGUUCAGAACGUCGUGAGACAGUUCGGUCCAUAUCCGGUGCAGGCGCAAGAGCAUUGAGAGGAGUCCUCCUUAGUACGAGAGGACCGGGAGGAACGCACCGCUGGUGUACCAGUUAUCGUGCCAACGGUAAACGCUGGGUAGCCAAGUGCGGCGUGGAUAACCGCUGAAAGCAUCUAAGUGGGAAGCCCACCUCAAGAUGAGUGCUCUCACUACAAGAAGUAGGUAAGGUCACAGGAAGAACACCUGUUCAUAGGCGCUAGGUGGAAGAGCAGUAAUGUUUGUAGCCGAGGCGUGCUAAUAGACCGAGGGCUUGACCUCACAA